ensembl:lincRNA Gm43568 predicted gene 43568
GGGUUGGAUGCUCCACCCAAAAGAAGGCAUUUGUAAUCGAAAGGAAAACAGGGCAGAGAGGUUUGGGCAGCGCUUAACCUGGUCACUUGUCUUACUUUGUUUUCUGUGGCUGGAACUGAAUACCUCAGAUUAAGUCACAAAGCUUGUUGGUCUUUCCGCUCUGGUAGCCGGGAAGUUGGAGAUGGAGCAGCCACAUCUAAUGAGGCCCUUCCUGCUGGUGUUGACGCUGCAGAGUCCAAGGCCAUUCAGGGCAUGGCAUGUGCAGUGCUCCUCAGCUUCCCCACCUAUGGCUCAAGCAGGCCCUGGUGUAGCUCUUGACACUGUUCUACAAGACACAGAAGCAAGCUUGGGCAGAGUCUGUGAGGCGCGAACUCUGCAUACCUGCAUGCUGCAAGAGUUGUGGAGCUGUGAUGUCAUCCGCUUAGAUUUCAAAGAAUGUCACAGCUAGCCUGGAGUCCCAGGUAGAGGACGGUCAC